GUGUUCCAGAACUGUGGGGAUGUGGCACUGAGGGACGUGGGCAGUGGGCAUGGUGGGGUGGGUGGGGGUUGGGCCUGGGGAUCUCAGAGGUCUUUUACAGCCUUUAAGAUUUCGUGAUUAUAACAGGUGUUGGAGGUGGGAAAACUCCAACGUAAACAAGGAAGAUCCACAUCCUUCUGGAAAUUAAACCCAGCACCUCAGAUGCAGACCCAGCUGAGCUCACCUUCCAUCCAGCAGGAACUGAGGAUGGAGAAUUUGGAGUCCUGGGUGGCAGUGAGCAAUGUGCCUACCAGGAGCUAGGGAAAGCAAAGCCAGAAACCUAAUGGCGUUGUGGAAUAUUUGGAUGUAUCAGACCUCUCCUCUGACCUCCUCCCUUCUGCAGCUUGCUAAAUGUGACCAUUUUUUUUCCACUUCUCCUUUCAGUAUCCACUGAAAAGCUUUUACUUUCACCCUUCAGUACCAAAACCAUCACAGUCUGCUUUCAUCUCAUCCUCUCCUGACAAUUACAUCCACUUGCUUCCCUAUUUUCUUUUCCUUCAAGGCUUCCAUCCACGCUGCUUUUUUAUCUCACUCACCUGCCUGUACCAUCGUUAUUUUCCACAUUGUCCCACACGCUAUUAUGCAUCUAAAACCUGCUUUCAGCAUGGUUAUUUAAGCCCAUUCUCCUGCACUCGGGUAGAUGAAUAUUCCUGUUGAACCUACAGCAAAUCCUCCAGCUUCUGCUGUACUAAAUGCUUUUAAGGGGAUGCUGAAGUCCAGUGGAAGUUUGGACAAUGCAAAACAUUAAAUAGAGCCCUUUGAUAUUUAAAAGCUGAAACUUUUCCAGGCUAAUGCAGGCAACGUCACAUAAAGCUGGCAACACAACCACCUGGGUCCAUUAACUACACUUGCUCUAUAGCAUUUGCUGUCUGAAUUGUUUAUGCCUCGUUUGAGCACGCAGACUACUCGGCAUAUUAAUACUCUGGAAAAGAAUGUGUAGGAUAGAGCUAGAAAUGAGGGACCAUUGGGGGUGCCUGUUGUUAUGCCAGAAUGACGAUGAGGCACAGAGACAACUCUUGAUCAUGUGCCUUUAGAUGACCAAGUGACAGUAAUGACCACUGAAAUCCCACACUGACAAAGACCUCCUCUAAAGAAUCCCUGAAGUCCUUCCACGUGCUCAAGUCAGCCAAUUGAGCUGCCAGGAUGAGAGCUUUGCAUAGAGUGGGGCUUGGUACAAGAAAAGGACACGUGCACAAGGAUGCUCAAUGCAGCAAUAAGGUGGAUAAGGAGCAAAACACUGUCAGGAUUUCCUUUUGCAGAAGAAAAACAUAGCCAAGGACAAAAUCUUUUGUAACACAGGAGAAAAGAACCUUCAGAUAGAAGCCAUUUUGCACGUACUGCUUAUGCUCAAGAAGACAUUUGGGGAUAAAUAUUGGACCUUCUAAUGAAGGUCCUCUGUGGUUGGCUUGUUGCUACUUUACCCAAAGUCAUCUAACCCCCUGUUGGAGAUAUUACACAUCGUUUUCACAUUAGAGCAGUUGGGUGGCAUGAAGAAUUAGCAUGCAAGCAGAGGGAUGCUCAGCAGGGGUAAAUUAGCUGCUUCAAAGAAAAGCAAGAGGCACAUUAGAGCCUGUUCCAGCACAGAAGUCCUUCCCUGCGCUGCAGACAGAUAAUGCAGCAAAGCACAUGGAAGGAGCAGCACUUCCCUUUGAGAACAUUUCCUAAGCUUCCCAUCAGCUGUGGAAAUUUAUUCAAAAGGAAGCAGUCCAAGCAAGAACUUCCAGCAUUCUCCUGCUCAAAACCACUCUCACUACGGCGUUUUGCUUUCACAGCAGAAACGCUGCUAAGGGAUUUUGCCCCCAGGAAAGGGGAACAGAAACUGCCUUUGCAGUGUCUCUGUGCAGAACUGUACUGGCACAAGCUGUUCAGAAGCCACUGCCUGACAUGGCCUGUGUUGUGACACCGGACUGACACAUCCCAUGCCUUCCUUUGUGACCAUGCCACGGGCUUUCUGCAUGAGCAGAACAGACUCAGCAUCUCUGCAUCCACACAGAUAAAGCGUGCGGCUGCGCAUCUCCCAGUGAACCCAAAUACCUCCUUUUAGUCACAGGACCUCCAAAGAUGCACUGAGGCUUGGUCCAGAGAGACAGAAUCCAUCCCCUCCUGGUCACUUCCUCCAAUGAUCCAUCACAGCAGUGCCUAUCUCCUGACCUCCCACUCUGAACCACUCAAACUUCUCACCACCUCCAGCAGACCUGGCAGUACCCAGUACUCUCUCCCCAAGCAAAGAAGUUUGGUUUAGUUUGCUCUUGACACAGUGGGAGAUUUAAGAAGUUCAAGUCCAGACAUUUAUCCCCCUCCUCCGCUGCCCUGCUGCUCUUUGCACAUGUUCUUUAGUUUUUCCCACGUCUAUUUUAAAAGUACGGAUAUCACAGCUAUAUAAACUACUUCACCAGUAUCCCUGUGGAAGCAGCUUCAGGAAGUAAAAACAUCCUUUUUUUCCUAUCCCCUAGCUGCACACCCAUAGAUGGCAUUACUCAUUACUGCACCGUCACUCUGGGAACUCGAGCAGGCUGGUGGGCUGGGAAAAGCCCCAAACCUCUUCCCAGUGCUGACAUCUCUCCAGGCAAAGCCUCCGUGCUGGAGUGCUUCACACCCGACUUGUGGGAAGGUGGUUCAUAAAGUCAUCUGGAUUACUCCAAGCCGUUUAUCACAUUCUGAUAAUGAUUUAUGACUCCAUCGGUUUUCUGAAGCCCACAGAUUUUCUCAGCACCAAUUCCGCGCUUGAUGAAAAUCAUCAGAAUAGGCAGGAUGAAAUUAUUACUACGAAUUACUACGUUCAAACUUAGUAUGGACUACUGCGAUCACAUUUGCAGUGCUGCAGCUUCAUCGCAGCCUUUAUCUGACUUUUAUUUCUCAUACUGGUGAAGAAAUGAGCAGAGAUGAGGGCUUCCACUGCCUUCAACAGCUCUAACACAGCCCAGCCACCCAACGCUGAACUUGUUCACAGCUGUGAUAUGCCACAGGUUCACAGAAAGCACAACGUAUUACAGCCCAUUUCUCUUCACCAAGAAAAAAGGAAUUAAGUGGGAAAAGUCAUCCUUAAAAAUAAAUCUGAUUGUCUACUGACCAUCAGUCAGAAUGAACUUAGAAAACUGGCCAAUCUAAGCAUUAGAUUUUGAGAAGAGGGUUCUCUCAGCCUUAUACGUGAGGCUCAGAGGUAGGGAGGGACUGGGAACGGCAGCUUCUGCUAACCUAGAGAUGCUUCAGACCUCAAUAUACCCACAUACAGAUAUCCAUUUUACUGCUAACACACAACUAUAUGUACAUACGUAUUGUCACAUACACACAUGCACACAGAGCACAAGCCCCACUAACCUUGCACAACAAGAUACAGGGUCUCCAAGAAGCACACAGUGCUCUGAGAACGAUACCCCCGCAGUGCGCUUCCAGCAGCUUCCCAAAAUCACAUGCACUGUAACAGCAGCAAGGAGAGGAUCCAGCUCGAGGGAGGCAUUCAGCGAUGCUUAAGCAACACAGCUUUUCUCUCUCCCGCUCCAACUCCCUGCCCCUGUUCCCCAGCACAUUUCCAAAUUGGCUCAACUUUGGUGGAUUUGCAUGGGAACUGCAAAAGAGACAUCUGCCAAACAUCAAGUCAUUGCUCCCAAGAGCGGGGGCAAGGCAGCCUAGAAGGGAAAAAAUGGUCAGUGUGCUUUCAGUUUUAUUUUUUUCAGUGUAAGAACUGUGUAUUUUCUCAGCCUCGUUCUCCACAACAGCUGAGUUGUUUUCACUGGAGCACUCCCAAGUAGCACAUCCCUUUGCAGACAACUCUCCGAAGCGAAGUUUGACAAAAUAGAAGCGACUGCAAAUAAGGUUUUCAAACACAGAGCACCUGGCAGGCUUUUAAUAAUGACUAUUUCCAUCAGCCCCCACUGCUGGCCAGACAGCAGAGAGGUUUUACACCAACAGCCAUCUAUUCCCACAGGGAAAUAGUGGCUGGAAGAUGCUUAGGAACGCCACCGUUUACCUUUCCCAGAUGAAAUCUGCAUUGAUCUCCUUUCUCUCAUUACCUACCGUAAUCUGCAGUGUUGUUUUGUUGCACUGUCUAAUUAAGGACACAUGUUCCUUUGGAUAAAGAUCUCAACAUCUUGCUCAUCCACAAAAGCUACUCAGCACACAGAUGCUGCUUUGCAAGCAAAACCAUUGAUUUUAGCCACGAAGGUACCGGUUUCACAUGAGCAUUCUAACAAGUGCAUUUAAGCAAAAUUCUCUUUAACCAUCCUUGUGUUCAUGCAUGGAUCCCUCACAGCAGGGUUUCCGAGCGAGCAGAAGAUGAAUGCUUGCUGUGAUACACAGUAUUUCCAUAAUCAGGAUUUCAUGUUACCCAAAAGCAGUUAUUUUGUUUUCUUCGAGUCUCCAGCAAUCCCUGAAACACGUACAGCUUGGGACAACGGAGAUGGGGAGCAGUUGCACACCCUGUGGUAUUUCAGGGGCUGAUGAAAAACAGCAGGGAGACACUCCCAGACACCCUGCUGUCUACAUGUGCCUCUCCAUAUCCACAGCCCGUGAAAUCCCACAUUGCACAAACCCAGGGGCAGCUGAACUGAACGCACUGAGAGCAGCAUGUAACGAGGAGACAGAGAGCUCUGUGAAGGAUGCAGAUACAGCCUGACACUGCUGGUCCUUUGGGCUCCUUCAUUUUGGCAGCAGGGGUCUCCAUGAGGUCCCAUCAAACAGAAAUGACUCAAGCAAGUGAUCUUCCUGAGGGCGAUGGAGAAGCAUGGGUUCUGUGAGGCUCGGGAAUAAGAACAUCAAAUCAAAGCCUGGGAAGCCCGCGCUGCCCUUCGGAAAAUGGCCUGGUAAAUUCUUAUACUGUUAAGUCCUGCCUCUCUACCACAAACUCAGUUGUGCUGAGAGGAGCUGAAGUUGCAAUGAAUACCAGCAAAACAAAAUCGGGGAACAAAAGCUGGCAUCCAGUAAACUGACCAAUGCAUUUGGACAGCAGCAAGCUACUGGCGAGCUGGUGAGCUCCUGGCACCCAGCCCUGUAGCUCCCACAGCAAGGCAACAGCAAGAGAGGAUGGAGGGUGAGUCUGCAGCCCUGUUAGCCCAGGGCUAAUACCUGUGUGCCAACUGCCCUUCCACAGGAAGGUGGGAGCAUCUGUGCUCGUCUACAGCUUCCCAAGCUAUAAGGAAGUCCUCUGAGUACAUCCCAUUUACAAGCAAAACCAGACAGCAACUUUAUGGUCACUAAGCUACCUGUGCAUAGCAAGCCUGCAAAAUCUGCAAGGACUUCCAAUUCGUUGUUAUUAACACAUUCUUUGUAUUAAUCUUCCCCAAGUGAUCCAUUGUGGGAAUUUAUGUAUGACCCUCUAUUGAAAACCACAGUAACUCUCUCCCUGAACAUACCACGGAGCUUGAACACAUGAAAGCAGAGAGCCUGAAGAGGCUGAUGAGAAUCAUUUGCCAGUAACACUGGGAAGGACAAUCUGGUUUUAUGGGACAUUUUAUAGUAUGUUUUUCCAAAUUAAAACUAAAACAGUUCCCAGAUGGAAGCUGUACCAUUUCAACUUCAACCUUAGAAAUACUUUGUUGUUGUUGUUGCUUUUAAAAACAUGCAAAGCUUCAGGAAAUCUGAGCUCACAGAAGGGCUGGCAGCUCUUUGCAUCGCUCAGAGAAGACUCAGGCAUGAUGGCACAAACCUUGACAUAUUUUUUUGGUCAGAGAUUCAAAUAAUAAGGAAAAGUUCGUUUCAGAGCAGCAGCAAAGUUUGCCCUUAUUUCUACAAUGCGUGCAUCAGACUGUGGAAAAUUUCCUUACAAAGCUCCAGGCAUCUACACAGGCAGCUGGAGUGGGAAACGUAUUUCCUUGCUCACAGUGUGCUAAUCCAGUGACUCUGAACUAAAUAGCUUGCUUCUGCAAAUUGAUUAUUUUAUUUUUCGAAGUGUCCCAUAUAGAUGAAACGUGGCCCUAAUACACUUUCCAAGUCACAGCUUUUUCCCAGGAAGCAACGUCUAAAGCUUGAAUGUAGCUUUUAAUUUGCAUCAUCAAUGCUUAACGCAGACAAUAGUCUGGCUCAUCCCUUCAUGCUUAUUUUGGUGCUGGAAAGGCAACAAAGAACAGAGUAUUUUUGUCAAGCAAUUGCAAAUGCACAGAAUUAGAGAAGAUAUGGGAGAUGAAAGCAGGGUCUUUGCUUACUUCUGAGAGCAUGCAAAGGUGCAGCUAGCACCUGGCUCCAUCUGCAUAUCACAGAACCAGAGAACAGCCUGGGUUGAAAAGGACCACAAUGAUCACCUGGUUUCAACCCCCUGCUAUGUGCAGGGUUGCCAACCACCAGACCAGGCUGCCCAUGACACAUAUUCCUAAUUUGUUAAGGACAAAUGUGGAAAUAGUUUCAUCUACAGGACCACAGGGAUGGAAAGCACAGGUCACCGUCCCUUGACCAGGCACCUCCAGCCACCUGUCCUCAUUCCUUCUGCAGGCACUUCUCAUCCCAUACCUAACGCUGCCCUUAUUCUGAUUUCUGGCUCCUUCCCAAACCCUCUCUCUCCCCUCCCCCCUUCUCUUUGGUGUCAUCGCCAACACCCACUUUCAAUCUCCAUUACAGUUUCUGCUGGGUGCAGAGAUCCUGUUUCAGCUGAUCACUACAACACUGCCUGUGCUUUGCAUUAAGGGAGGAUCGAGUUAUGCCACAGCUCAUCAAAGCCCACGACACUGUCAGUAACCACUACAUCAGCUUUCACCCUGCCUGAUGGAAGAGAAAACUGCCUUGGCCAUACUAGAGAGGCCAGAAGGGAAAAGUAUAGUUAUCGUUGUAACAGGAUCUCGUAAUGGAGUGAAAAUUGUGCUGUCAACACAAGCAGGACACACCAUGCUGGAGAAGUUUUCCUUUUUCCAAAGGACUUCAGGCAGCACAGACAGAAGCAGAAACACCACCUGAUCCCACAUGCAUUUGUUCCUCAAAUUAUUCUCCAAACCUGUUCCUGGUCCAUCUUCCUGGUAGGUCUAUCUUAGCUGUACUCACAGAUCUCUUUAUGAAGUAAUUACAAAUGCUUAUUUCAAACAGUAUGAUAUUAAUCUCAGGGACAGAAAACUCUCAGUGGUUGCUAUCACCCUGCCACAAGGUUCCAUGGGAUCCACGCCACGGAUUGCCCUGAACCCAUUCUUUGCUAGAGGGGGCAUUGAAGGAGGUUGGUAAGCACCACACUCCCAAUAACAGAAAGUGCAGGUGUCCAGAUUCACUUCUGCUUGCUGAAAACCCCAGGACACUGCAAGAUCAGAAUAAGAAUACCAAUCAUAGAUAUUUAAUGCGAUAAUUUGACAGGCUGAGGGAGCUGGGCUUGUUCAACCUGGAGAAAAGAAGGCUGCAGAGUGACCUCAAUGCAGCCUUUCAGUACCUAAAGGGAGCCUACAAACAGGAGGGCAGUCAACUCUUUGAAAGGGUAGAUAAUGGCAGGACAAGGGGAAAUGGUUUUAAGUUGAAGAAGGGAGGAUUUAGGUUGGAUAUCAGGGAGAAGUUCUUUACCAAGAGAGUGGUGAGGUGCUGGAACAGCUGCCCAGAGAGGCUGUGGAUGCCCCGUCCAUCCCUGGAGGUGUUCAAGGCCAGGUUGGAUGGGGUCCUGGGCAGCCUGGGCUGGUAUUAGAGGUGGAGGUUGGCGGCCCUGCCUGUGGCAGGGGGGUUGGAGCUUCAUGAUCCUUGAGGUCCCUUCCAACCCGGGCCACUCCAUGAUUUUGAGAAAAGCUUCAGACCAGUCCUGGAUGCUUCUCAACACUGUCCACCAGUGAGCUGCUUGAAUGCAUCCCAGCACCAAAGGCAGAGCCAUAAUUAAGGAAUAAGAACUCUGGAGACAAUGCACCCCUGUGAAUGAAUGCUCAAAGAUCAAAUGGGUUCUACGUUCCCCUCGAUCCUAAAAUCUUAAGCUUUCAUAGAAUCGUUAAGGUUGGAAAAGAUCUCCAACAUUACCUAGUCCAAUCCUCAACCCAUCACCACCAUGGCCACUAAGCCAAUGUGCCAAACAUUCCCAUGUCUCCUGAGCACUUCCAGGGUCAGCGACCUCAUUAACAGAGUCUCCAUUAACUGUAUUCCAUCAAAGUGCCUCCAUUUCAUACUACACAGGGAAGCUCUGCAUCUCCUUCAGGUUUGCACUGUGCACUUUGUUCAACAGACUUUUCCCAAGCCUCCGCAGGACUCCUGUCACAUCAGAGGGAAACCCAGGAACCUUUACAUGCAGAGACAUUUGGAGAGGGGCAAUCCCAUUAAGGAUGGCACGGACUAGAUUAAUUCAAGUUCAUUCUCAGUCUUCACAUUCAUUCAAACUGGGGACAACAAACCCAAAUCCAGACUUCGGUCAGAUGCAGAAACUUUGAUUCCCAAUAAAUAAGCCUCAUGACUUGGCUUCUAUGCAAAAUGUUGAGUUUUGGUAGGGUUUUUGUUCUUACUUCAAAAGUAUCAGCAUCUCCACUGACAAUCAAUGGGGUCAGCUAACCAGAACAGACAGAAGACCUGUACACAACACUUGCUGAAUAUUACACACAAGUAUUUCUCUCCAUGCAAAGCUGCUCCAAGCAGGAACUUCCCCACAAUCCCAUAGAGCCCUGGUACACAAAUGCUGUCUGUAGCAGCUUGCUCCUUCAGCCAUGAUUUUUUUAUUAUUAAUUAUGGGUGUAACAAGAAAUGCACAUAUAUGAAAGGCAACUUGAAGAUAUCAAAAUGACCCAAAUAAUGGUAAUUUCCUGGUAAUUACACAUAACUUUGGAACUUGCAGUAACUCGAGCAAUCAGCACACACUGGUCACACAGAUAACAGCUGGUGGCUAUCUGAGACAUCCUUUCCAUUGUGCACAUCUCUGAUAAGCACCCAGCUGUUGCAAAGAAGAACCACGAGGCUGAAGUCUCCGAUCUCUUUUGAUUUUAUUUAGCUUCCAGUGGGAGAAGCUCUCCGGACUGCACAAACUAUGAAGAAGCACUGAAGUGAGUAAAGCCAACAACAGAGACCUGUUUUCAGUCUGCAGUCCCAUACAUGUUAAAGAAGAAAUCACAUCCAAGAAAGGUGCAUGUGGAGGUUGGAAAUACAGUAUUAUCACGUGGAUCUGAGCCAACAAGGAAAUAAAAUCGUGUUUGCAAAUGGAAAUUGAAUAUCCAGACUUCCAUGGGAAAUUCCUAUUCAACAAUACAGAGGAAUAAAAAUAUCCUCUUUUCACACAUUUUAUCUGUUAGUCUCAACUGCAUCUAGUUCUACUAACACGAGAUGUUUUAUGUGCCUUAGACAUGAAGAGCAAACACAUUUCAUUGUCAUGUACUUCAGAAAAAACCAAGAGAACACUACAAAACAAAACAUUCCCUUAAAAAAAGAAAAACAACCAACAAACCAAACAGAAAACCAACAUUUUUUGUGAAGUCUUCAAGUUCCAGCCAUAAUGUAUAAAGAAACUGAGGCUGCCUCCUGACCAGGACUUGUAGUUCAAGCUCUCUGGUGAACCAGUUUGUUUGGAUUCCCUGUGUUUUCAUUUCACCUCAAGCACAGAACACACAGGCAAGGAUGGAAUUUGCCAGGAUUACAUCAAUAUUUGGAGGCAUAGACAGGCAGGGAAAGAAUCUGUCCUGUGAUAGGCAAAGCUGACGCAAAAAUAGAGUUUUAAGGCUGCAGAUGGGGCUACAGAGCAAUUUCCUAAUGAAGGAAGACAAAGUAAUACCUUUGUAGUAAAUCCAACAAGAGAAACUCUAACAGAACCCUGCCAUACGAAGGCCAAAUUAUUACCAAGAAGCUGAAUAGCAAUACUGCUGCACACUGCAACACAAACAGAGGUGGCCACAACAACGUGGUGCCAUCUGGGAAGACAGUGCCUCAAUGGGAAGAGCCCAGACCCUACACAGACCGCCAUACACACAAGUAGCUAAAUGACAGGGGUAAGGACCAAACCCAGUGGCUGUGUCUACAGCAGUAUAUUAUAUCUAAACAGGGUUGGUCCAAACAGCCCCACAGUAAGGGUCAUGGAAUGGCACAGGCUGGGGACCUGACGGAUUUGAACUUUAUGACCUUUAAGUGGACUUGAUGACCAUUAAAGGUCCCUUCCAACUCAAAGAAUCCUAUGAAAUGACCCUUCCCACAAGCAAGUGCCCUUCAACAGCCUUCAGGCUCUCCAAUAGAGCUCAUGGAGCUUCCUACUGUUCAGCUACCCCCACAUAAGGAACUUCCAGGUGAACUGCCCAGCAAGAAGUGCCCGUGGAUGGAUGUGGAGGCAUUGUAAAAUCAUUAAGGUUGAAAAAGACUUCCAAGAUCCCGAAGUCCAACUGUCAACCCGUCACUAAACCAUGUCCUUCAGUGCCACAUCUCCACAGUUCUUGAACAACUCAGGGAUAGUGACUCCACAAAUCCCCCUGGGCAGCCUGGUCCAAUGCUUGGUCACUCUUCUGGAGAAUAAAUUUCUCUUAAUUUCCAUCCUGACCCUCCCUUGGUGCAACUUAAGGCCAUUACCUCUCAUCCUGGGAGACGAUGUGCAGAGAAAUACUUCCAUCUUCCAAAUACACGCUAGCUUUUUGAGAAUUUGCUCACAUCACACUGACAAGAAAUACACAAAUUCCCUGUAAGAGUGAGUAAGAAGCUGCUUCACAUGCUCCCUUUGUGGGCAGUAACUGCUCUCUGUGGGAUUAGACAGGACUGCGCUUAUCACCUGCCACACAGCAACCUGCACACUCUGAUACCAUCGUGACAGAAGAAAGCAUUCAAUCCCAAUGCUCCUGCCAACAGGCCACCAUCGAUGACUAAAACACAUUUGAUAAAAAUCAAAGAUUUGAGAAAAUCUCUUCUUUGAGCAGUUCAGGAGGCCCUUCAAGGUUUCUAUACACGACAUAUUCCAGCUUUACUGCUGAGAUACCGCAGCUUGAGGGGAACAGGCAUUCUUGGUCCCGAGAGCUUUCAGCUUUUAACUGAUUAUCCUGUCCUCCUGCCUGGGAAAACACUUGACCUACAGGGCCAUCAAAAAGUCCUGGCUUGAAGAAAAUAAGAGGGAAAAAAAAUGAAGUGAAUGCUUCUCUUCUUCCCCAAAAUGCUCUGAAACCAACCCACAGCACUGGGAACCAGAACACUGUCCAUCUUCCUACCCACUGUUUUAAGCCUCCCUGUUUUAAAAUACUCAUGGUACAGCACUGGGUGCAGAGGGAAAACACCCUCUGGGAAGUCCUGGCAAUGCCAUACUGUCCUGCAUGGAACAGGCUCUGUAAGUGCUGAAAAGGAGCAGAUCCAGGUGACACAUCACUGUAAUUAGUUUUCAGUGCUUGCAGAUGAAAGAAAGUCCAGAAGGACCACAUGCUCCUGCAGCAUGGUUUGCACAGCCUGAGGUGCUUCCUCCAGCACAAAGGGAACAGGUACACAAAUAAAUCCAGCUGCAUUCCCUCUAACAGCUAAACAAAAAGGACUGAGAGAAUUGAAAUGUUUAAAAUUUAAAAACCACGUUCAGAUCAAACUGAAUCAUCAGGCUGAUUAAACCACAUUUAAUUCACUCAUUUAACCUUUACCUGAUAAUUAAAUAAUGAACUCAUUAGGGAAGGGAGCAGUAUACUUUUAAUCCUCAUGACAAAAGAGCAUUAUCAUGUUGGUGACAGCCGGUACCCGCACACAAGAGCCUCACAUGUCUACUCCCGGCCUCAAACCAAUGCUGAGACCAUAGUUAUUGAUGCCAACCAAAGCUGCCCAUACAAGUCAGAGGCAUGGAAAGUCUCAGCUUACAAAACAACCCACCACAAUCUAAGGAGAUAAUCUGUUACAGUUCUGUAACAUGUUUCAGUAGAUGAGAUUGCUUCACGAUAAAAUAUACAAGGCCUAACAUUAAGAGAAUGUAUGUGUGCUUUUUAUAGAGAGAAAUGUUAUUUAAUCUGUGAUGCUUGAGCGAAAUUGUAGGUCUCUCUCAUGAUCACGCACUUACCUAACAGCCAUCUGCUGGAGUUCAGCUGGAGUACAAGUGCUCCCCUCCCAGCAGAAAUAGGAGAAUGAGCAAGAUUUUAAAAGUCAAUACAUAGAAAAAGAACAGCAGCUUGAGAUGAGGAAAAUUGCUCCAAUUUCAUUUCUUCCGAGUGCCUGCAAAAGCAGCAUCUCUGCCCUUCACUCAAAGAUCCUUUCACUUGCUUUUCUCCUUUCUCUCCACUUACUGAUUUUACAAGGAACACCAAGAUGGGAGCACUUGCCAGGAAGGAUGAAUUAUGCGCGGAGAUUCAAGAGGUUCAAAGCCAACUUGCCCUGAGAACCAAGUUCUAAACAAGAUUACUCAGCCUUUAGUACGUUCACAAAAUCAAAACCAUUUUCCAGGAGAAAACAGAUCCAUGAAGCACUCAACCUUUCAUUUGGUUUUGAGUAUUUUUGGAGCAUCUUCAAAACCCUUACAUUCCACAGAAACGUUCACUUUCUCUCCUUGUAGAUUUCAGAAGACACAUAAACAAAAAUUGCAAUUUCCUAAAAGCAUAAAAGAAGCUUUUCUAAUUUAUUGCUUUAUUACUCUGGAAAAAAAAAGGAUAGGGAGGGGAGAGGCAACAUUAUUGGGUUUAAAAUAAUUUAAAAUGAAUAAAUGAAUCCAGCUCUGCCAGACUGGAGGCAUCUUGCUGGGUAGAGGCACAGGAAAGGCCUAUUUCAUUUGAUGAUGUGGUGAGCUUGCAGUGCACAGAAAGAACUCAACACACACAAGACUGGUAAGUGAUACAAAGCAGUGGGUGCAUGGGCAGCAACACCUCCCAUUGACCAGGCUGUCCAGGGCCCCAUCCAGCCUGGCCUUGAGCAAUGCCCUCGUUGUAAAAAAUUUCCUUAUAAUACCCAAUGCAAACUAAUCCUCUUUUAUUUUAGGGAGGCUACGAACAAAAGGGGACUCAACUCUUUGCAAGGGUAGAUAACAGCAGGACAAGGGAAAAUGGUUACAAGUUGAGGGAGGGAAGAUUUAGGUUGGAUAUCAGGCGGAAGUUCUUUAUUAUAAGAGUGGUGAGGUGCUGGAACAGCUGCCCAGAGAGGCUGUGGAUGCCCCGUCCAUCCCUGGAGGUGUUCAAGGCCAGGUUGGAUGGGGCCCUGGGCAGCCUGGGCUGGUAUUCGAGGUGGAGGUUGGUGGCCCUGCCUGUGUGGGGGGGUUGGAGCUUCAUGAUCCUUGGGGUCCCUUCCAACCCAAGCCAUUCUGUGAUUCUGUGAUUCUAUCUUAAAGCCAUUUACCCCUUGUUCUAUAGAUAAAUACUCCCAAGGUGUCUCAGCCCUUCUCCCUGGGAGAGGUGUUCUGGUCUUCUAACCAUUUCUGUGACCGUCCUCUGGAAGGCCUUCUUCCUGACUACUUCUAGCUGAUAAUAAUCUUUCCAUCUCCCAGACAGCUGUAUUUCCAUAGAGAUAUGAACAUACAGUGGUCUAAGGCUUAGAGAGCCUGCAAAUGAAAAGCAUUAUAGGACACUUAAGGCUAUUAUCCUUGUGCUGUAGCCCAGAAGCCAGCCUUUAAGAGAAAAGCUGAGAAACAAAGCUCUUCCAAAAGAGCUCAGUGGGAGGUUUCUGUGCAAAAAAAUGGGAGGUUGGGGAAUUGGGAAAUAUCAGAGAAUAACAAAUUAAUCUUCCAAGUUCAUUUCAUUGCAUCAACUCUAUUGAGCGAAAAAGGCUGCUCAGAGGGUACGAAUGGAAUUAAGCACACCAUUUUAGGGAAAACAGCUUCAGAAAAGCAGAUCUGCUAGGGAAAUCAAAAAGGCAACAGAGGUCAAGCAGAAGGAAUGGACUUCCACUCAGCUUUUAAAGCGAGGGGUGGCUGAAUACCAGCUGAAGUUCCUGAGAUACAAUUCAGCAAUUAAAUUCAAGCCAAAAGGGAGGACCUCCAACAAGAUCUAGUAAACAAGAUAGAGAUGGGAAAAGUCCCCCUCUAAAUGCCAUAAUUAAGACAUGCAGAAGAAAACAAAUAAUGACAAACUCAUUUGGUGAUCUCUGCUGAUCCAGGAACAGAAGAGCCCCAGAGCUAGAAGUAGCUAAUAGGCAGCUGAGAGAGAGAAACACGUCGCAAUGGCUCCCUGUAUCUGAAAGGAAUUAUCCAGCAAUGACACACAAGGCUGUGCUUGAAACAACAGAAAUGCAAAUUCAGAGAUGCAAUUUUGAGCCAUCUUCAGGUAAUGAAGCUCUACUGGAACAUGAAAAAGUCCCAUGAGAUCAGGACGACUCCCAUUUUUCAGCGUUAAAGCCACAGGAUGAUGCCCAAUGGAGAAGAGUUUAGCUCCUAAUCCAAGGAUGCAGCCUGACAGCCUCCCACUUACUCAUUUCACUCAACACGAACCAAAUUUUGCACAUGAAAUCCCCGAAGCUUGCUUCAUUUCCUCUCCCAAGCUUGUGCUUGAAGCCUACCACCCUUCAUUCCCCCACCCAAGGUGGCUGGUACCAGCUGCCCCAAGAGCUGCAUGCCUUGCCCGAAACGGGGCAUGCGGUCAAUAGGAAAAAAAGGGAUAGAAGGAAAGAAUCAACCUUUCAGAAACAGACACUGAAGCACAACUGUUUCCAUAUAGCAAGCAAUAUUUUCCUGACAUUUCCCAAACAAACAUAGCGAACACUUUACCAGCACCAUGACCAUCGCUCUCAGCACACCACUUCCAUGACAGAGAAUAGGCAGGCCAAGCAAAGCUGGAAACGUGGUGACAAGCUCAAGCCUUAACAGUUGCAUGGAGGAGCAAGUAAUUAUUAUGAUGCUCAGAUGAGCUCAUCUCUUGUUCUCAUCAAACUUGUUUGUUAAGUUAUCGUUCACUCAAUAAUCUUCCAUUCCCUCUUAAGGCAUCAAAGCACAGGGAGGCAGUGCUGGGUUGUGCCUCUGCUACUGCUGUCCUCACCCAACAAAUAUCACAGAUUCCAGCAAGGAUUGAAGCACUUGCACCAUGCUGAGAUUUAUUGUUAUAAAAACAAUUACCGACACACUUGGCAGAAUUCAGCAUUCUCUUCCAGGGAGAAGAAAGAUUGCUACAUUUCAUGUGGGAGUCAGACAACUCUCAGAAUGAAGUUCACACAGACAAACAUGGACACAAAUCUUCAUGAAGUCACACAACUCCCACACCCCUUAGUGGGAGCCAGAGAUACUCAAUUCAAUUUGGAGCAUCAAAUCCCUCAAGCCAGAAGCAUCAGCGAACAACUGCAUCCUGCCAUGUACUCUGCGAUGUAUGACUCGGGAUCUGAUCAGGGAAAAAGAAGUUAUCAUGUUGUAUUUCAAUCUUCUGUUUCUUAAGCCUCUGCCAAUAAGAAAAGAGUUUGUCACAAAGAGCUAGCUCACUGUCCAACAGAUGUGUGCGGUGGGACAAGCUCCUGCCUGCUCUCCCAGAACAUUACUCUGAACUGCAAACAGGAGCAAGGCUUUAAGUGCUGAAGCAACACGAUCCAGCAUGAACACACGCUUCCCUGGGAGGCAGCCUGUGCUCAAGUCCACUUGAAAACUCACCCAACCUUUGCAGUGUGCAUCCACUUCUGUGGCGAGGACAUGUCAGGAUGGAUGUGGAAGCUGUGCAAGGAUCCAGUCCCAAAGGAAGUACCAACAGCAGUGAACCUAUUGGGGAAUGGAGGUACUCCAUUGGAGGAACAUGGUUUAGUGAGCAUAGUGGUGAUGGGUUGAGAACUGAACUUGAUCUUAGUGGUGUUUCCCAACGUUGAUGGUUCUAUGAUUCUACUCUUCCCAUUUUACAUCUGCUUAGGGUCCUGUAGGGAAGCUGUGGCGAAACCUGAGUUGAACUUCUAACUUCUUAAUCUAAAAGCAGGUAGGCUUAACUUAAUUCUCUUGGAAACUGUAAAUAAACUAAAUUUGAGUAGUAUUGACUUUUACAGGGAGACCUUCAAAAAGUAUUGUUAGCAACAAGCUUAGCAUUUGGAAGAGCAAAGCUAUAGGUCUUAACUAUCCAGGCUCAUAGUAACUUGAUAAUACAAAAAAUAAUAAUAAAAAAAAGACCCCCUCUCUCCUCCUCUCCAAGGGCAGAGACCAAAAGAGGAGGGCAAGGCAGACAUGAGACACAGUUUGUGGCAGAAAAGGUUUUAUUCUACCCCCCAGAUUUGGAGAACAUGCUAUAUUUCGCAUAGAGAUCGUGGAGAAUGAGUUGGGGGAAAGAGAAUAUCAAAACCAAAACAAGUCACGAGGCACCAACAAUCCCUUGAUGACAGGAGAGUAGUUUUUGUUGGCACAGCUCACGACAGCUGGAGGAAUAAUUGCAAAGCUGAGUGAGAAUGCCUAGAAUAUAUGUUGCCUUUACCUUCUCAAAUGAAAGCUGCUAUCCACAAGCAUUUUGCUAAAGUUAAUUAAAUCCACACAGCCCGCUUUGGCAGAUCAAGAAGUAUUUAUCCUUAUUUUGUAAAGAAGGGGAUGAAUAUCUCUGGUACUUUUCACAUCAGGUAUCUACUUAUGAAAUGCCCCAUAGAUACACUAAGCAUCAAAAGCACGCAUUACCCUGCCCAGUCCAGCGGCUGUCCCCAGCAUAUAGCCAGGGCAGAGAUGAUGAGGCUUCUGUUUUUCCCCUGCCUACUGCCCCAGCAGAAAUCUUGACUUCACAAGGAAGCCAGCCAGCUCUGGCUGUGCAGAUCAACAGCAGAGGUGAAUACAAAUGCUGCAGACGAGCUUUAAAGCAAUACUGCCCCUUUAUAAUUUGUUAAAAAAAAAAACGAAACAUGUCAACUGCUCUUCCUUCAAGUUUUCUUUAUCACAGUGAUUCAGCCUUACGAGACUGCAGGGCUUCACGCUCUGAAAUGUCUCCCUCACUUCUGCUCUACUCCUUGUGGGACUGCUGCUUCCCAACACUGCUUUACAGCCACCCACCGCUGUACAGUCACAGCCCAGGGACACGUCCUAUGCUCUCGGGCCACUUACCUACACUCAGAUCACGCGCUGCCAGUUCAAGAGCUCCACAGCAGGGAGGGAAAAGCAUGCCCUUGUCACCCCCAGCAACCUGCCUGCCGUCACACCAGCUCUGCUCUGCUGAAAGAGGAGGAAUGCUUCCCGCAUCUCCCCCACGCGAUGCUCCAAUUAGGGACUGGAGCCUCAGCUUUGGCUGAGUUCCUCCUCGCUGAGCCCCAGGCAAGCGCCUGUGAAUCCAGCAGCAAACAAGUUUCAUCCAUCCUCCCUUUAAUUACAUGUUGUAUCAGCACAAUAAGUAUUUGAAAGUAGCUUUAUGCCUAGCCGUCAACAGCAACUGCUACCAAUCCAAAGGAGCUGCCUAUUCUAUAUGGCAAUAUCUACAAUGCUCUUCAACAUGAUAAAAUAAAACACUGUUAGUGCAAAUGUCAUCCAGCGUCCUGAGUGCAAGCAGGGAGAAAGAAAGGCUGGUGAAAUAUUUAUCAGAAAGAGGCAUGAAGAAUUUGAGACACCUGCAUUCAUUCCCGUUGUCUGCAGAAUCGAGCUUAUAUCUAAAAAAAACCAAAACAGUCAUUAGCUAAACUGACAUGGAGAAUUUAGUAUUCGAGAGAAGGGUCAGUGUUUGGGAUCUAUAAAGAGAAGCUGGGAACAUCUGCAGGGACAGGAAGAAUAUGCAUAAACACACAGUGUGAACUAAAAUACACAGUGUGGCAAUGCUUGCAAUCUUACCAUGAGAAUAUGAAUAUUUGGAGUUCUUCCCCAUCUAAAAAUGCCCUUCAGACAGCUGAUUAUGUAUGUAUUUCAUAUGGAAAUGCAUCUAAUGAUGUAAAUGGAAAGGGAACCUAAGAAUAAGUGGAGCACAUCCAAAGACUUUAGAUAGCAAAAGGCAUAAAAUCGACUACUUUUAAAACAUUUCAACAUAUGCAUAGCCUAGGAGAAGAUUGGAAAUGAGCAGUGUAAAAUAUAUAGCUUAAAACCUUGUUUUCACUUUAAUUUCUUCUUUAACUCUUGACAAAGACCCCCUGUGCCUUACAGUGCUGCUCAUGCAGCAGCUGCUGAGUGAUGCCCAUUGCCCUCAGGCCAGACAAGCACAGGUCCUGCACUUGCUACAGAGACAACUGAUGCCUUAGUGAAGCCAAGUCCAUCUUAAAUCCCUUGGAUGUACCAGUUCAGCAGCAAUUACCAGCCCACCUAUGGGGCUUACUAUGUGGCGAGCACACCGACUUAAAGCAUUCUUCAAACUAAAAUACCUGUCAGGAAAUAGGAGCUUAGGGAUACAAGCUGCCAUUCAAACCAUCCAGUCUCACUGUCUAGAAUAUUUUACUCAGGUUCAGCAUCUUUCCAGACACGUUUCCCUGCAUGCAGCACAGUAGUGAGGACUUUUGCAAACUGUCCAUCACAACUCCACCUGCUCUCUAAGCCCACUUCUUCAGCCACAUGGGCCUGCCUGCCUAAAGACAUGGAGACCAAGCAGAGGAGACAAAAAGCUUCCCCUGGACUCAUUGGCAGCCUGAGCUGCUUCUUUUGGGAGCCUGCAACUUUCUGCUGCAAGGCACAGUUUGCAGAACCAGGCUAUGUACAGCAGCAUACACCCCCGAGAAGUCAGCUUAGUGGCUACUGUGUGGGACACUGACUACCUACUCUCUGCCAAUCCAAGGCCAAGGCAGUGCCUAACACCAAGCAAAUCUGAAACCUGGCCAAAGAAGCAAACAGCCAGUGGUGUAAUGCCGGCAUUACACGUGCUGUUACAAUCUGGCACUGUGAGGAGAAAAGUUCUGGGGUGGGACCAGCAGAUGUUUGCAGCUGCAAUUGGUUAGACCUGCUCUGACCCCCCGCCCCUGUGGGGACCCGGAUAUGGUCACUGCACCCAGACUCAGCCCUGGCUCUUCCCAUGCUGCAGGUUGUUUCCUUUGCCAUACAGCUCACUGCUGCUUCUCCAAUCUGCUCACUGAGGAUGGAGGUAACACAGGAGUUAAAAUAAUGCAUCUCAACCACAUUUUUAGUGAUAAGAGUCAAUUUUGGGGGGGGGCUCGAAAUUUCACCUAUGCCCUUGGCUUCUAGAUAAAUGAGUAAAUACUAUGACAUUAUUAAAUGCAUCCACUGCACACCAAACAAGUCCUGCAGAAAUCUAUUUAUUCGCAGUACACCUCAUCUUGAUGACACCUUCCAAUCAAGGCACCUCCAGGCAAGAACUGCUGCCCUGUUUUAACACAAUGCAAUGUGAUGCAGCUGGACUGACUGUACCUGGCUGCUGUUCUGGGGUCCUUCCAACGAAUGCUCGUGGCUUUGGAGCUCAUUUGGGACAUCCACCUCCCUGUGAGGACCCUGCAACACAACAUACAGCUGUGCUUGGGCUGACACUCGGGAGGACAGGAGCCGUCAGAGGGCAGCCUUCUACUUUCCUGAUACCAGAGUUGUUUCCUUCUUUAUGAUAAGAAACAGAGCACAUUUUUGGCCUUCCCACACAUAUCCAUAGUUGCGUGACUGCCAACUCUUUUAUCACUUCCUAUCACCCUUGAUUUUUUUUUAAAUCUUGCCCAAGGUUAUGUUCAGUAAAGGUUUCUCCCUCAAAAUGCUGCACUGAAAACAUUAUCACAGUCACACCUGGAAAUUGCAUCAAAAUCCUUCUUGAAAAUGCCUGUUUCCCAAAGGGCAGCCCAGCUGAGCAGAAAAGCAGCAAAUUCCUGCCCUCCUCUCUUUGCAGGUGUAGCACUAUCCUUGAAGUUGAAGGAUUUUUUGCCCCUAUGUGUUAUUAUUUAUUUACGGAUAGAGGUACUAACCUCUCAAUCUGCCCUUCCCAGCUCCUCUGUUAUCUCUUUGCAGCUGCUCAGGGGUGGCUGACAGCUCCUAUAGCCAGGAAACGUUUCACACUUCAGAGAAGCAGCAGUUUCUUACAAGCAGACUCUUCCAGAUCAUCCUUCACUGAGCCUAAUGACUCUAGAAAGAUCCCUGGGGAAGGAACACUGCUGCCAAUGAGCUCCAUUAAGUAUCCAGCAAGAAUGAGCAAAACAUUUCUUUUUUCAUUCAUUUUCCAAGCUGGCUCUAGCACAGAAAACAUCACAGAGCGUAUGCUGCAGAAACAACGUGCCCACAAUUCCUGCACAUUUUUGAAGCAAGGUGGCUGUAAGCAAACACAACUAUUUCCAGGGGAGCAACUUGAUUUGGGAAAGCACCAUAAUACAAAAGCACUGCUUUUCUGAUGGUUGCCCCACGCAUCACUUCUCAUGGGGAGGUGGUGGGGUCACCAUCCCUGGAGGCGUUCCAGAACCGUGGAGAUGUGGCACUGAGGGACGUGGGCAGUGGUGUUGACGGGAUGGGUUGGGGGUUGGCCUUGGUGAUCUUGGAGGUCUUUUCCAGCCUUAAUGAUUCUAUGAGAGAAAGCUGAACAACUGCAAAUACCUUUUAAACACUGACAUGUGAGACUUCACUUAGGACGUGGUUUUGCGCUGAAGCUCAGCAGAUCCAAUGGUGUCUUGCUGCAGAAAAGAGAUCUCUUCCCCUACUUCCAAGCCUGUGUCCUCGGUGAGCUGAUUCGGGGAGUUGGACUGGGAGGAAUCAGGCACACAUCAGCACAAAAAGAUCAGUGGGAGCACAACGCUGGGAGCUGAACCUUCCCUUGCAGCAGCAGCAUGACAAUGUAUCAGUUCAGCUACAAUGCACAAGUGCACUCUAAAUUUAGAUAGCUUUCUAACUAUAAAGACAUAUCUCACAUCCAUUAUUCCUCUCCCAACACAAGGAUGAGCUAUUCUAUUAUAAAUGCUUUGAUAUCACCACAGCGCUCUCUACCCCACAGGAGCAGACAUCAAUUGUCAUUAAAGUGGUUCCAUUUCUGAACGUAGAAAAAAAGGGAGACCACGCUAAUGGUGGUGAAGGACAGGUUGCCCAAGGAGAGGAAAGAUCACAGGUUUAGGAGGAAAGGGAAAAAACCCACAGAUGACUUCACCUGGCCUUGGGCUGCUGCUCAUUAAUGCUUCCAAGAGUCACCUGACAGGUGAUGACCUACACUGCUCUUGGCCUAUGCGCUUAUCAUCCAUCUCAGACAGCACCAAAUCCCCUUCAUGUGCACAGUGUAAUGGGAAUGCUUAUUCUGAAUAAGACAAACAGGAGAAACCAAGAAAGAAGAAAAAGAACAAAACUGCAGGCCUCAAUUUGCCUGAGAAAACCACCAGAAGGCUCAGCGAUGGCAUCAUGCAAUGGGUUUCACCACUCACUUCCCUCAGCCACUCUACAUUUUCACCUUCUCCGCAAGAGGAAAGCCUCUCUGAGCACAAACUCUGGGCUGUGUGGGCAGAAGACGUGGUUGUUUCCUCCUGUUGAUAUUUCUAUCUACCCCCCAUUGGUUUGGGAUUUCUCAGAGAGCUUUUAAAAAGCUUUUCCCAUUCAGGCUUUGCUCCACUUUAAGAAGUUUCUGGAGCGUGUGAACUCUGUGUUCAAGGCAGACACAGACACCCUUCUAUUUCAGAUACUCUGCUUCAGCAGCUAAUAGCCAACUUUUGCCCCAUUUUUUUUCCCUAACUACGGUUUGGAAAAAAAAAAUGCAGCCAUAAACACUUACUUAAAUAUGCAAGGAUUUCUUACUGCACCAAAAUAAAUACACGAAUAUUUUGUCAAUUUAAAGAAUCAUUCGGGUUGGAAAAGCCCUCUGAGAUCCCCAGGCCCAACCACAGCCCACCCCACCGUGCCCACUGCCCACAUCCCUCAGUGCCACAUCCCCACGGUUCUGGAACACCUCCAGGGACGGUGACCCCACCACCUCCCUGGGCAGCUGUGCCACUGCAUCACCACCCUUUGAGAGCAGAAACGUUUCCUAACAUCCAACCUGAGCCUCCACUGGCACAAUUUGAGGCGAACAUGUCUCAUCCUAUCACUGUUACCCAGGAGCAGAGGCCAUUCCCCACCUCAUCACAGCCUCCUUUCAGGGAGAUGCAGGGAGCAAUGAGGUCUCCCCUGAGCUCCUCUUCUCCAGACUGACCCAUCCCAGCCCCCUCAGCUGCUCCCCCAUAACACCUGUGCUCCAGACCCUUCACAGCUUCACUGCCCUUCUCCGGACACACUCCAGGACCUCAAUGUCUUUCUUGUAGUGAGGGGCCCCGAACAGAGCACAGUACUCAAUCCCACCAGUACAGAGUACAGAUGAACUGUUACCAUUCCUGCAGGCUACACUGUUUCUGAUACAAAAUCCCCCCUGCUCCAUCAUGCAAAAGAUCAAGAACUGUGUUUACAGUCCCACAGCCAUCAGCAGACCUGAUGAACCACCUCACUCUGCAUCUCAAAGGCAGAAGCAUAUAGCAACAAAGAUACACUUGAAUGGCAAACCCAAGAGUAUUGGCACAAAUUAGUUCCCCAGAGACCUAAGGCAGGCUUCCUUUUCCCCCUCAAAGGAAUCAGCUCUGCAACGCCUCACAGUGAGGGCUUUAGGCAGAAUUAAAAGGACACUAAAUCUGUCUACAGGGAAAGAGCAGCUGGAUCAGCACAUGAUGAAGCAGAGGAUUCAGGACGAAAGGGAAGAAGUGCGUUUUCCCCUCCUUAGGGGCAGUUUCAAUGCAGCAAUGCAUUCAUCUUCCAUUUCUCCCAACUCAGAGCUCUAUUCUGAAAGUACUCUCAUAAGACUUGAAGUACACCUGUAAGAUCUGCAUCAUCCAGAGCAGCAGCCACAGCUGGACGUUGGCACAGAGGGUUGAGGCCCUGUGCAAUGCCACUGAACCCAUUCCAGAUCAGCCACCCACAUCCUGUCUCUUUUCAGAAGUGGAAAUACUAGCAGGCAGGGUCAUAACCUGGCUCUUCAGUGAUGAUUAUUAAAGAUUCAAGUUUCCAGGUAAUUUUUUCCUGCAGCACUGUCUAAAACAGGUCCAAGGCUGAAGCUUGCUCACAGAAGCAGAAAUGAAAUUUCAGGCCAGUAAUCUAAAGGGGGGCAACAAGAAAGAAGGGCACAGACUCCUUAGCAGCGUCUGCUCUGAUGGGGUGAGAGGAAAUCAUUUCAAAAUAAAACAGCAAAGAUUUAGAUUGGAUAUAAGGAGAAGCUUUUUUACAGUAAGGGUGGUGAGGCACUGGCACAGGUUGCCCAGAGAGCGGUGGGUGCCCCAUCUCUGCAGACAUCCAAAGUCAGGCUGGACGGGGCUCUGAGCACGGAUGGAGCUGUGGGUGUCCCUGUCCAUUUCAGGGGUGUUGGACCAGAUGGCCUUUAAAGGUCCCUUCCAACUCAAAUGAUUCAAUGAUAAUAGUUACAGUGAGAAAAGACAGACCCUUGCUCACCUCCAUAAGCCAAGAUUUCUUCUAAAACUUUAAGCAUCAUCUCCACAGUGAGAUGCCCACCUCCUCCACACCUGAACUCCCUGUAGGCAGCAGAAAGGCUGGCCUAGGCUUGCUUUUAGUUCCUGUGCCACUUUGGAGGUAGUGUCAGAAAAAGGGUCAGAAAGAAAUCACUAUUUUCCAGCCAUCAGCACCCCGACAGCAGUGGGUCUGAGUCCCACAAGGGUGGAUAGUGAUAGGAUGGGGGGAAUGGUUUUAAACUAAGACAGAAGUGAUUUAGGUUGGUUAUUGAGAGGAAGUUUUUCCACCCAGAGGGUGGUGACGCACUGAACAGGUUGCCCAAGGAGGCUGUGGAUGCCCCAUCCCUGGAGGCAUUCAAGGCCAGGCUGGAUGUGGCUCUGGGCAGCCUGGUCUGCUGGUUGGCGACCCUGCACAUAGCAGGGGGUUGAAACCAGAUGGUCAUUGUGGUCCUUUUCAACCCAGGCCAUUCUAUGAUUCUAUGAUUCAUAAGACAAAACCAUUUCCAAAAGAUAAAAAGACAAGGUUAUUAAAUUUUUCAAAGAUAACAAAACUGAUUCCCACUCUUCUUCCUUUGAUUUACAACAGGAGGAGGAAGGAGCAUGAAGAAUGGAGAAACAAGUUGUUUAAACAACAACAGCUGUUACAUCAAUGCCAGCAUAAAGGAGUCGCAAGCAUCCUGUUCUUGUCUGAGCUGUCGCUGUUUAAGUAAGAGCUCUGCCUUUUGAAGAGGACUUUAUAACCUCAAACACACACAUUCAGCUUUAUUUUCUUCCUAAUCAGAAGUCAAUUAUCCUGCUGAGUAAUGACAGAACAAUUCCACAAAGUAAAUCCUUUUCAUAUUGAGGCCUUCUGUGAUCAAACUGCACUGGAAACAUCCUCAGUCACACAAAAGGAGGAGGAUUUCACUCGUGCUUCCCCAGUCAUUCCUAGGGGCCUUUCUCCAAACUUCCCUGCAAACCUGCAGAGUAGCAAUGGCUCCAGCUGACAUCAUGAGAUGAUGUACUUUUAUCCAAACUGAAACUUCACUACUCAAUCUUUCAUCAAGUCGGAGGCUAUUCAUGAAGUGUUUACCUCCAGCUGUCCAUAGAUUUUACUCACAGAAGCAAAUUAGUGCUACUGGCAAACAUUAUUUAACUUGUUCCCUGCCUCCCUGUUGUUACUAUAGUAAUGUGAGACUCCUGGAGAGCCCCUUUAAUACUUCUUUAACCACUUUGAAAUAGCUUUGUUAUUAAAUAACCACUGGAACAUUUUCCUAUCACACGCAAGUUAUCAUCUGUUUUCAGGUUCUGCACUUUCAAGUAUUCUUAUUAACAGUCUGCAACACCACUCCGGUCCCAGGUGCCGAAGUCCACACAUACAUGAAUUACCUCCAAUCAGUCUUGGAUACAUGAGUAAUAGUGCACUCAGGAGGCACUGAUUGAAGCCAAAGAGCCGUAUGUCACUGCUACAGUACCUGGGGUGCUUGAUGGAAGACAACAGAACAAAGCAACCAUCUGACUACAAGGAGGAUCCACUGCUGGGUCAGCUCCUUGGCCUCCAUACAGCAUUCAAGAUCAUCUAUUGUCCAUAUGAAACAUCCUUCUGGCAAAUCUGGAGGUAAUCUGGACUGAUUCACCUGGUCAGGAUGCAGGCCAUAGCCAAGCUAUUCUUCAGUUUGCAGGGAAAGCCUCAUGUCAUCCCACAGUUAUCCAUGCUCAUGCACUCCAGCUCUCCUCUGCAAGACCACCCCUGCACAGCUGCUAGCUGGCCUCUCAGGCACACAGUGGCUUCUCAUCAGCCACUGGUAUCUCCAGAGCUCACCUUCAGGGAAAAGCUGCCCCAAACCAUGCCUGUGGAUCAGUAUGGAGUACAGGCUGCAGAAUAUGGCCUCUCACAGUGAACAUCCUCCACCUCAACAGCAGCUCUCAGCUUGGCAACCUUCUGACCAUUUCUCCUUGCUACUUCAAGAGUGUCAGGAAAAGUUUUAUCCCUGCUUCCAACAGAAAUCCUGAAUGAUAUCUCUGUAUAUUCUGUAUAUUUCUCCUUUUAGGAUGGAGGCAUAAGAGGAGCAGGAAGAAACUGUUCUACAGCUUGUACCUGUAGCAGAGACAGCACGGCAAAUAUGGCUGCAGAACCUGCUCAGACACUGCCCCGGGAGCAGCUCAGCAAUAAGCCCAGGAAAGAGCCUGGAGAAGAUCAGCUGGGGAAUAGCUGAACUUUGUUAUUUAACACUGAUAAAAAAAACCUAACACAGGAUGGAGAAUUGCAAAUCUGCAUAAAGCAUGAUGAUUUUAGCCUCACUUGAGCUUUCCCCCUCUUACCCACUGUGGGAUUCAAUGAGAACUGUAAGCAGAAAAGAAGUAAACACACAAACAGUGACUUAUUCUACCUAAGUACAAACCAAUUCCUGGAGGGGAAAGAAGGAGAACAGAACUGGGACUGAUAUUACAGGCUUAGCAAGCAGGAGCACUUGGGCACAUACAGCUGGCUUUGUCACUGUGUUACAAAGGCUCCCUGUUACCACUCCACCAUUACAGCAUUGUCCCAUGCAGCCUCAAGCCCAAAGUUCAAUGGUGUAAGUUGGCUUCUUUGAGUUCCCCAUUCAGAGCAGGGAUCCCAACAAGGGCACCAAACCAUCCCUUGCUCCAAGCAAAAUGAGUACUAAAACUAUAUGCCCUUUCUCCAGCAUGAGCUUCUUUCCUGUGCAAAGCAGAAGUCCAACACUUAUCUCAGCAUUUUACAAGCCCUUGCCAUGCUGGCCAUAUUGUUCAGUCAGUGUACUACACCAGGACAAAUAAAUGGAGAGUGUUCCAGUGCUGUCCAGGAAGAGCUGAUCUCUUGUAGGGAUCAACAUCUGGCACAUUUGCACCCUGUAAGGACUGCCCAGCCAAAAAUAACCUUGAAUCCUACAGUUAUUUGGCUGUUUGGAUCCCAACCACAUUAAAAAUUACUCUCCAUUUACUAUCUUACUAAACUAUACCUGAAAUUCUCUAGAUGGGUCUCAGAGCUGUGACUCAGUGCUGAGGAAGAAAACUGUGACUUGAGAACCUGGCUUCUCAGCCUGGCCACAGGGCAGGACCUUAACCACACUUGCAGGAGCUGUGAUUCACCUUAGAGUAGCACAAAAGCCAUGCACGUGAGUCAGGGCUGAAAUACAAAACCACAGAGCUGGCCCAGCCCGGGUAUGUCAGUCUGCAGACCAUCACUGCAGACCUGGGACUACAACGCUAAGAUUUUAGUCGUGCUGUAUUUCAGUCCUACUUUUGGGAAGCCACAGUACUAAUAAAAUAAACAGCACUUAUGCAAAGCAGAGGGGAUGGAGGAGCAUGUCUCUUCCUGGCAGAAUUAGUACCUGUUUGAUGACACAGCUCUAUGUUUUUCCACAUAAGAGCUAUUCUUUUUUUUUUUUUUUUUUGAUACAAUUUCCCCUCUUAACCAAUGGAGGGUGGGAGAAGCUUUAACAUCUGAAGCGCUUUGUGUCCCCGUUUAGAAGAGGCAGUGCAUGCUAACAGCCAUUUAGUUUCCUGAAAUUGCUGCAGGAUACAAAGAUAUGUCAUAUAUCCCGUCUGACAGCAUCAGCACAAAGGCACACAAUAUCUGCCAGGGCUCUUUGUUAAAUACUAUAUUGUCCUAGUGACUCAGUGCACUGGAAUGCAUCAGGUUUAGCCAUAGCCUUUCUGAUACAGUCUUUAGAUUAGGCACAAAUUUCUGCCUUUUAGAAAAAAAUAUAUAUAUCUAUGGCUUAUUAUUAUGUGGAGCACACAAAAUUCCUGGCCUCUUUUCCAGGGUGAUAAACACAGCACUGAAACAAAAGGCCUGGGCCCCAAACCAAAUGGCUCUUUCAAGCUUCUAACAAGUCGGGUUUCAAGAACACUGAAGAGAGGAAAACCCAGAUGUGCACCACGACCAGAAGUUCUUGUCAGAAGGAGAGAGGGCAGAAGAGCAGUGAAGAUGGUCAAAGUCACUGAACAUCGUCUGUAAUGAGGACAGCUGAAUCAGCCUUGGAUCUUUCAGUCUGGAAUACUAGAGUACAAUACCAAACCGCCCUCACUUUGCAUUCUUAACUGCUGUUGUGAGCAGACAGAGGGCAAGCAUCCACAGUGAGCCCACUGCUUGCACAGGAAGCAUCAACCACAUCCAUUUACAGCAAGGGCCCUGCAAUACAGCCUCCCCCAACAUGUAGCUUUCCUGCCAAGUCACGAAGCCUCAUGUGAUGCUUGAAGAGAAGCUUCCUAAUAUUCCAACCCCAGCCCAGUUAUUUAGACAUUCAGUGCACAGUCUUGGGAAACAAUGACUUGUUAAGGACUUCUUUGAAACAGUUUCUUUUCCCAUUCCAAUCUAUGGCAAUCUAAGACAGAGCUUGUUUCCAACAUCUCCUCUGCUCCAUCCCUCUGCCAUCUCCUACUGAUCUGAAUUCAUAUACGCAGACUUCUUGCUUUAAUCACAAUCUUCUGCCCUUCGAAGGGACUCCAGGCCUCAAAUCCUUGUCUCCUACUUCUGUUCUUCAUCAGGCCCGCAAAAGCAUACCUGGUUCUGAAGGUCAGUGCUGAGCCUGCCACACACAGCAUCGGCUGAAAUAAGUGUUCUGCAGGCCAAAUUAUGCCUUGGGGAAGCCUAUGCAGCCGUGUGGGCCUCCUGCAGAUUGCACAGCUGUCAGGCUACAGCUUACAGUACUCUCCCUAAGAUACGCAAGGAGAAAGAGAAUUCAAUGAUAUUGACUUAUUUUAGCUACUGAAGUCAGCGGACCUGACUCUAAACACACUUGGGAUUAGACCUGUCGAUUAUGACCAUGGGGCAGCACUGUCCAGUAGCAGCAUCAUUUGUUCUUCACAUGACCUCUCUGUUACUUUCAGUUUUAGCAUUCCUCACGGCGUUUGUGGCAGCAGCCAUUGUGCCAGCUGAGCAGGGAGACCCCACUGUGUUUGGCACACUACAAAAGGUGCCAAAGGUAGAAAGACUGUCCUGAAUUCAGAAGCAAACAGCUAAAUUAACGGUGCAUUAGGUAGGAACAGAUCAUCUGAACCAAGGACAUCAGGCAUGUCUCAUGAUACUUGCCAGAGGUGAGAAGAUAAGAAGACACACAUAAGAUAGCUUCUUUUUCCCCUUCUUGCAUAGAAGCACAAGCAUUAUCUGCCCUGCUCCCAGGACGUUUUUAAACCAACCUGCUAACACAUUCCAGUUUCCAAGCACACAAUUUCCCCUUGUCUUUUGUUUAUGAACACCUUCGGUUCUAAAAUUCAUCAUCCCAUGCUAUCCUUAGGAGAGUGGCCUGCUAGGGUUGUUACAGUGAAAUUAAUUGUGCAGUGGUCUCAGCCAUCGCAGCUCCCACACUCACCUGCUGGGUCUGUGCCUGCAUUUUACAUCCAAAAGCUGAGAGUCAGCUUGCAGAUACCUACAGUAGGCAGUUAACUAUUUUCAGCCUGGCUGUGCACCAGAUGGCCCAACAUGUUCCAGUUAACCAGUAUAUAUUAACUGACGUCCCUCACAGUAACAAGUUUAACAAUAUUUGUAGACACUUCAUAAAGCAUAGGCUCGUUAUUACAGUCCAUUAGUGUGCAUGCAAGAUAUUUUAACGUGUAAAAAGUCCCCAUGAAAUAAGAAUUUUCUCCUUUACUUUCAGGAAAAAAAAAAAGCCAUCCUUGCCACAUACUAGGCAACGCUUUCCAGUGCUUUCUUCAUACCCUUUCCAUCCCAUAAGUCAAGUCAAACCUCAUUUAACCGAUAUCACAGCAUGCCUCUAAGAGUCACCCCUGCACGUGAGCAGGUUCCUCAUCCUCCCUCCUCCUUGAGUUCAGCAAGGCUGGAACAGAGCAGGUGAACUCUUGCUCUCCUGACCCCAGGGCCUCUUCUGCUCUGCAGCACAGGAAACCACACAUGACACAUUAUUCAAUUAUGUGGCAACGCCUUCAGCAUAGAUUUCCCUGCAGCCUCAAACAGGUACAAGGCACAACCAUAUUGGUUCUUUGUUCUGCUGGAAAGUGCACACCACUGGAAGUGGACUACAGGCAGAAUGCAGCACUUCGGAUAAAAGGAGCUAGAACCAUCAACUUCCAUUUCUCCCAAAACCAAACAAGUUAAGCCAAAGGAGUUCGUGUUUCUAUGGCAGUGUUGCCCAAAUAAGCAGAGUUAGAGCUCCUCUCUAGUGAAGUCAACCUGAUGACACAAGACAGCAUCACAACAGUAGGCACUAUAGAAAGUCUCAUCCUAGAAAUGUAAGGGUACUUACUGGAAAAGGUGAUCAAACAGAGUCUGUCUCUCCUCUGUAGCCAGCUGUCCACUCAUUCACUUGGAUCCUAUCAGAGAGGAAAAAAGGCUCUAAGUAUAGACAAAGUGACAGACCCAAGAAGUAGGCCAGCCGAGGGAAGCCAGACAGACCCUCCUCAACACUGAGGUUGAGAACUAAGAAUGCUGACAAAGCUCAGAGCACUGCUGCAAUGCCUGAAAUCACCUACGGCACUGCUUGCCCCCAGAGGCUCUCUCAGCAAGGCUCGAUCUGAUCAAAAUGUAAGGGAGUGGCACCAAUAGCUGCAAAAAUCAGGUGCUACAGAGAACCACAUCUGUUUCUGAGACACACUGACCACCAAAAGCACCAUUACAGUGUGCUCUGCCUAUUACAUGGGGAAACAAGAACUCCCUUUGCAAGAUGCAGCCUGGAAGGAAUAUAAGGGCUGUGGAUCCAGCACACACUGAGGAGUGCCUUUAACAGACACAGUGGUUCAACAAAUGGUACCCCUGUAACAGGAAACCACUCAACUUUUGCUUAACCCUGUUUUGAUUAAGCAAAAGAUUACCCAUGGAGUGGCAUUAUGAUGCAAAGAAAAGCAAAAUGCAUCACUAGCCAUACACUUUAAUACACAUCACGCACAGAACAACUGUGCUUCAGAGGGACAUUAAAUCCACAUUCAAUUAAUAGAGACCCCUCUUAGGAUGGGCAUUAAAUAAUUCCCUACCAUGCACACAGAUAACUGUCCACUUCACAAAAAUGGAAUAGGAACCUCCUCAUAUCCCUGCCAAUAAAAUCUCCAUCAAAACUUGCCCUUAAAACAACAAGGGGUCAGUGAGGAGGGAUGAGGGGCAGGAGAGCCACUAUUGUGUGCUUAUAUUAAAGACUCCUCAUCAGAAAAUUACUCCAAAUGGAUGUUUUUCAUGUUUAUCAAUAACAGAGCUAAUGGUUUUUAUGUAAAUGCCAUUACUCUCAGUCAGAUCUGCACAGGACUCAGCCCCAUCUCCCCUCGUGAGCGACUCCCCUUCAGGCAGCCAAUCUAAAUGCAAAUUAUAAUCAAAUGGCAAAACCAGGAGUUUUCCGGAUGAGACCAAAAAUCUAAAAUUAAGGACAAAGCGUACUUAUUUUGAGAGAACAUCCCUCCUUGUCGUCAAUACACAACACCCGCUGGGCUCACACCGCGUCUUCAACCCAAACAUACAUCAAAAUUCAAGCCUAACUUGAUUCUCCUUUGCAGCCCUACUGUUUACCUAUAGAGCAAAGAGCACCAUUUGCGGGGGGAAGUGACUCUCCUUGGCACAGAGCUGGAAGAAGGAGGUGGUGCUGCGGGAUGGGUAUUCAGAGGCAGAGAUUUAGAGCUGCUGCCAGCAUGAGGAGCGCCUCUCUCACGGCAUAAAAGCUUUUCAGAAGAGCACUUAAAUCACAGCCCCCACCUGGAGGAUACACGAAACAGAGCGCUUCGUCGGCACUGAUUACAAUAACGCACUAAUGACAAAUUUGGUAAUAAAUAACAUCAAAAACGGCGCUGUUUAUUAAGCAGAACGCACAGAAGAGAAACUAAUGACUAAAACAAAGGCCAGAAACCUAACAACGUAACUACUGCACAGGUCUGUGAGGGAGCCCAGAGGGGACUGGCUCCCCGGCUGCAGAACACCAAAGCUCCCAUUCCCCAGAGAUGGACACGUCCUCAGAGGGAGGCAGCCAAUUAGCGAUGGCUACAGACGUGCUCGUUACACGGGCUUAGCGCUUUGUAUGUUUUGGAAGAGCAUAUCACAGGAAUAUUCAGAGCAGAACUUGGCUAAUUAACAUUAAUAACUGAGAGACCGCUUCGGCAAACAGCUGGAUUUUGUGGAUUAGGCAGCGAGCGGACACACAGUGCUGGGGAGCAGAGAGAGAAUGCAGCUCAGCGGGCACCUGGCUGCUGCCUCAGUGUUGCAGUUAAUGAUUUAUCCUUGGGCCUCAAUGUCCAUGAACGAAUGAAUGCGCAGUCUGUAAAUAAAGCACCUCAGCCUGAGCACGGCCCGGCUACAGCUGACUGCUGGGGUAUGACUGCUCGUCAAAAGAGGUAUUACAUUCAAAACCACAGCCCUGCCUGCCUUCCCCCAGAAGCUUCUCAUGAGGACUGGCAUCUCUGAAAUCUCAGUCAACUCUUCUUUUUCCACAGCUGCUUUGACAUAGCUCGUGGUUAAACAAUUACUCACAGACCCAUUGCUUUCGGCACUAAAAUAAGACACAGACUUUCAGUCCUCCAUCACAGCACGGAGCUGCAAAGGAUCCGUCCUCCUCUUCCUCCAAAGCCACGGUGAAGCAGCACAGCUACGUAACCCAUCUUUGGCAAAAGGAGCCCCAGCUUACAGCCCGUCACCACAUCAAGGCCCAUUUAGAAUCAUCACAGAAUUGAGUUAGAAAGAACACUUAAAAGCCACCCGGUCCCACUCCCUGCAAUGAGAAGGGACAGCUCAGAGCCCAUCCAGCCUGACCUUGGCUGUCUGCAGGGGACAAGGCACCCACCACCUCCACGGGCAACCUGUGCCAGUGCCUCACUAUCCUAAUUGUAAAAAUCUUCCUUAAAUCCAACCUAAAUCUCCUCUAUUUUAGUUUGAAACCAUUUCCCCUCGCCCUGUCACAACAAAUCCGGAUAAAGAGUCUGUCCCUUCCUUCCUUACGGCCCUCUUUUAGGUACUGAAAGGCCACUCUCAGGUAUGUCUGUAGCCUUCUCUUCUCCAGGCUGCACAGUCCCAGCUCUCUCAGCCUCUCCUCGUACGAGAGGUGUCCCAUUCCAUCAAUUAUUUUUGCAGCCCUUCUCUGGAUACACUCCCAAUGGGUCCACAUCUCUCCUGUACUGAGGACUCCACAUGUGGAUGCAGCGCUCCAGGUGAGGCCUCACCAGAACAGUACAGAAAGGCAGGAUCCCCCCCCUUGCCUUGCUGGCCACACUACUUUGGAUGCAGCCCAGGAUACAGUUGGCAUUCAGGACAGAGAGGGCACAGUGCUGGCUCAUGUCCAGCUGCCAUCCAUCGUUACCCCCAGGACCUUUUCACCAGGGCUGCGCUCUAUUCUUACAUCCCCAGCCUGUAUUGAUAGCGGGGGCCGCUGUGACUUCAGGUGCAGACUCUACACUUGGCUUUGUUGAACCUCAGGAGGUUGUUGCAGGCCUACUGUGAGCUGUGGGGGAAGAGAAAAAAUAGGAAAAAAACCAAAAAGGGAAGGAGCCCUUCUGAAACAAGUACAUCUCAUUCACACACCUCAGCGCUGCAGAUCACAGCCCAACCCUGCAACAGAUGUCCUGGUGAAAGCAGCAGCACUGCGAAGCAAACAGGCGUUCAGGCACGGCGACUCAGGGAAUGCUGCUCCAGGAACGUGGUGCAUCGGGGACAGUGCUGCUCAGCCACCCGAGAUUUCACGCACAGCCACCACCAUAAUCUGAUUUCACAGGCAUCUCCUGACUUCAGCUGUCAAACCACAACCGCAGCCCAUUUGCUGCAGCAGCGCGCUUGAAAACCAGAGCUGUUCCUGGAGCAGAGCCAUUUCCUCCCAGAAAUUAAAGGUUCAAAAAUCAGAGAAUCUCACCCCAACCCGUGGACUCGCUGCUUCCCUUUGCAAGAGUUCAGGUUUACUCACACCAAAAGGGUCCGAGCAGCAGAGCCUUUUCUUGCUGCCUUUUGUGUGAGGCUUCACGCUACAAUAAAUGGGUGGAAAUGCAAAGCAGAAGUUCACACAAAGAGAAACCAGUGUGCGAGGUGGUUUCUUCUGAAAAAGAGCAGGAGCAGGAAUGACUUACUGCCUCAUUAAGGAGCCCCAGGCUGCAUUUUUAUUAGAUAUAUUUAGAUGCCAGUGGUAAAAAACCAAACAAAAGUUAAAAAAAAAAAGAAGGGGGAGCACCUGUGUUCUUAACGUAUGGCCUGGGUAAGUCACAGGGCUACAAACUAAACCACAGCAGAUGCUCCAAAUGCAAGCGUGGAAUGUUAAUGGUGUAUGUGAGGACUCAGAAAAUCACCAUCAAUCUGCACAAAGGUGAAAGGAUUCCGCUGCUGCAGGACUGUGACUUUUCCCCACGCUCUCACGCAGCAAAUGCCUGUUCAUGUCACAGCCCACAGUUACUCCUGUGUUCCUCUUUGUGUUUUCAUACCUCAUUACAGCUUGUAAGCUGCUCAGUGCAAUGAAAAGGCAAGUCAGUGGAAGAUUUACUAUCUCGGUGGUAAAACUGAGCCCGUGCCCCAGCUGUCAGCCUCCCCACCACCGCCUCCUAUGGCACUGUGCAUGAUCCCAUGCACCCCCUGCUGUGGCCUCCACCCUGCAAGCAACCUGCAGCUCCGAAGGAAGGCUCAGUUCAUAGAACAUCCUGAGCUGGAAGGGACCCGUAAGGAUCACCCCGUCCAAUUCUUAGUUCAAAACAUCUUUCCUAUGUACAUAUCCCACAUAUGUAUAUGUCCGUGUAUGUAAGUAUUUAUACUCUGGUCUGCACAGUGCACAACUUUCUAGUAAUGUAAAUGCCAUCUCCCCGGCUUAAUGGGGAUGAUAACUUAUGGCUAAUCCUGUACGCUGGCACUGAACAAAGCAAGGCGGCACACCCAGAGCCAGCAUGCCUCCCAACCACUAAACACACAUUUCUGUGCUCUACGUGGGCAGCAACUGCUGUCCAGAACGUUUUAAGAGCAGAAACCACACUGCCUGAUGCGAGAGGAAAAAAAAUAAACCAAACCCAAAUACAUUCUUCCUCCUCUUCAAAGCCAGAGCAUAAGAAACAAGCAACGUAAUUAUUCCCACACAAGGGGAAGGAAAAUAAACCCAAAGAACACACACACGAGGAAAGCAACAAGCCUCAAAAAACUGCAUUUUCAAAAUAGUUCAAGGGCUUCUGCGCAGGGCCGUAGCCUCACAGCAGGAGUCAGGAAGAGCAGAAACUACAGAGAACCAUCUUCAGGGCUGCUGCACCCCGCAGAGCCCCCAGCACAGUCUCCCCUGCGUGCUGGAUCAUUCCCUGCCUCCUCCCCCACUCCAGCGCUGGUUGGUUCAGCAGAACUCCCGGCCCAGCAUCCAGCAGCGAGGCCAGCUGUGAAGGGUGCUGGCUCUGUGUCUGUCCCCUGCUGGGGACCCACCAGUGCCUGCCCUGGGCAGCACCCAGAUGCCAGCACCAAGUGGGAAGGAGUGGGUGCCCUAAGUGCUGCACAUUCUUUGGUGCCAACGUGGCACAGCUUUUUCCUCCCGGAGCAGCCUCAAAGCCAAAGGCAUCAGUUGCAGCUGUCCCAUCACCUGCCCGGAGACACCCAGACACCAGACGUGUGCCAAGAGGAGGCUUUCACUGCACCUGUACCAACAUGAGGGCUCCUCAGCAAAUCCUCCAAAUCCUCCAAGGCUGCAGCAAACAAACCUCUGGCAGGACAGAAGCAAGCUCUCAUCCCGAUGUUUCCUCCAGGGAGCGGAAGCACGACUCAGACACAAUCACUCGCUGCUGACAAGUAAAAGCACUUCAAGGAAGGCUUUUUUCCCCCUCCCUUCACUUUGUUUUAAAUGGCUGAAGAAUUUCCUCUGAAUGCUUCCAAUUGCAGCUCACGCAGAGUUAUUUUUGAAAGCAGAGAACCAGAUUUCUGAGACUCUGAAUGAGGAAAUGCAAAGCUUUUAUUAAGCAAUAAUAGCCCAGACAAUGGUCACAAUUUCCCAAGGGUCUGAACACCACAGCUGACAAUAAGCUUGAUUCCUAUACAAAACCCCCCCUUGCAGGCUCAGAGGGUUUGCUUUGUAUGGUCUCAGCUCUAGUUGGAGAGUUAAAACAUUUGCAGCGUGAUUUCCUCCAGUAACAUCUGACCAGAGAUACAAAAAUCACAGGGAAAAGCCCUUCAUGUUGUUCCCUUCUUCUUUGUGAUAGUAUAACAAGCCCUUUUCCAAGCUUGCAACAGAGACAUCUCCCCAUCCAGCUGGAUCAUUCCAAACUGGUCCAUCUUUUCAGGAUCAAGAGAGUGGGGAAAAAACCCUUCAACUUCCUCAAAGCAAUCGGUAUCACCAUACCGUGACUCUCCUUGAAAUGGGAAGAAAUGGGCCACAAAGCCCCACCUGCCACCACAGAGCAUAACUGGAUCCGGCGAUCACAUCACCUCUUUGUUAUUUCAAAAGGGAGGAAGCUGCAGCUCAGAGGAGCUCACACAGCCUCUCGAGCUUCCCAUUCUGGCCUUGUGCAUGCCACUUCUCAUUCAGUGAGAUGUGGUUGGCCAUGAACAAUUGCUGCUGCAUGUGAACGAGCUGAUCUGGCUCUCUGUAGCUGGCAAAAGAAGCAGGCACUUCUAGGGCACAUAAAACUUGAUUGGUUCAAGAUGUCUACUUAGGACAAGAUGAAUUGUCCUGCACAAACGGCUGCUUUUCUCCAUUGACUAUAAAGCAGACCUCAGGGAAAGAAAAGCAACAGCUUAGCUACAGACAGCUACAUCUGUACAAAAGACCUAAAUGCCUCCCAUUCAAAUGCUGUCCUCAUCUUAAAUAGUAAAGAAACUAAUACCCUAAGUUCAUUAGCUCUUCAAACCAAGCCCAGCCUGCAGGAGCAUUCCUACUCCACCAUUCUCUCCCUCCUCUCCCUUGUCCCAGGGAAAGUGUGGCAUACCUGCACAGCAUACCAUGGUUACAUUUAAGCUUUCCUAUCAGGCAAGUUGGUUUCAACACAGUCAUUUACUGACCAAGCUGACCACACAGCCAGUAUAGAGAGCCCACAGCACCUCUUUUCUCCUACUUGCUCCAUCUUAAAGGGAUUGCGAAAACAUUUCCUAACCUUCUGUAUACCUGUCUGUAAUCAAGAGAGCCUGGUUACAGCCAAAAGAGGGCAAAAGAAGAAAGUAAGCGGUUCAACAUCCUGCAUAAGCCUCUGCACCACUGCAUCUGCUGGUGUGCUCUCACCAGAGCAGCCACCACAAGCCGCAGAUGUGAGGAACACAUGCUUGUUGCCUUCCUCUGCCCUGCAACUGCUCAGUCUUGAUCCUCUCACACACAGCACUUGGGAGUAGCAGCAUCCUCUGCAUGCAGAGGACGGUUACUCUUUUAUUACUCCCCUCCAAAGACCCUUGCUCUGGAGCACAGGCUGUGCUUUACCUCCCUAUGGCGGUUCAGCAUAGGCUGGAACCAUUUGUCAGUGCCCUUCCUCGGCAGCAUCGUGCUUGGUGCAGUCAGUUCCACACACUGCCUCGAGAACGGGGAGCCGGGACACAGGGAGCAGUGCCAAGGACGCCCUGCCUGCAUAUACAGAUGCAGUAUAGCAGCUCUGCAUUGGCCUAUGGAGGAUCCAAGCCCUUAUCUCAAAGAGCACGUGCCAAGGAGAGCUUAUUUUUGGAUGAGAGGUAAUGGCCCUAAGUUGUGCCAGGGGUUGGAUAUUAGGAAAUAUUUCUCCUCCAAAAGAGCAGUACUGCAGUGGCACAGCUGCCCAGGGAGGUGGUGGGGUCACUGUCCCUGGAGGUGCUCCAGAACUGUGGGGAUGUGGCACUGAGGGAUGCGGGCAGUGGGCACGGUGGGGUGGGCUGGGGUUGGACUGAAUGACCUUGGAGAUCUUUUCCAACCUCCCUGAUUCUGUGAUUCUAUUUCAUGUCCUUUAAAAAGGCACAGCUUUCAAAUAGAGUGGUGACUGACCAUUUUGGAAAGAUUCAGGAUUGCACUGUACUGAGCCAUCUAAGACCUUUACAGUAAUUUGAUAAACAUUUUAGCAUAGAAUGCAUUUGCUGCAUUAUGUUUGCUCUCUGAACUACAGAGGAUCAAUUGUAGGCAUAAAGCUUCCCUAAUGCUGGAAGCCACAACAGAGACGACACCACCCGGAACAAAACUGCAUUGAAAAGCUGUGGGGUUCAAAGAGAAUAGGAAGAAAUAACCAAACAUGCAGCAGCUCAUCAUUUCACACAAUCAUUAAGGUUGGAAAAGACCUGUAUGAUCGUCUAGUUCAACCAUCCACCUACCACCAAUAUUGCCCAUGUAUCCAUGUCCCUAAGUACUACAUCUCCAUGUUUCUUGAACACCUGCAGGGAUCAGGGAAUUCACCACCUCCCUGGCAGCCUGUUCCAAUGCCUGACAACUCUUUGCUCCUCAUGUCCAAUCUGAACCUCCCCUGUUGCAAUUUGAGGCCACUCCUGAGCCUCCUCCAGACUGAACCAUCCCUGUUCCCUCAGUCACUCCCCAUAACAUUUGUGCUCCAGACACUUCACAGAUCUAUUGCCCUUCUCUGAACACCAAAGAUGCUUCACUGUCUUUCCUAUAGCGAGGGGCUCAACACUGAACACAACACUCAAGGUGAGGCCCCACCAGAGCUGAGUACAGGGGAUGAUCACCUCCCUUCUCCUACUGGCUGCACUACUUCUGACACAACCCUAGAUGCCAUUUGCCUCCCUGUCUACCUGGGCACACUGCUGGCUCAUGUCCAGCCGAGCGUCAACUAACACCUUCAGAUCCUGUUCCUCCCUGCAGCUUUCCAGCCACUCUGCCCCAAGUCUGCAGCAUUACACGUGGUUGUUGUGACCAAAGUGCAGGACCUGUCAUUUGGUCUUGAACUUCGUGCCACUGGCCUCAGCCGAACUUUGGGGCUGUGACCAGCCACAGGUUGGAUUUCACUUUCUUGACCACACUGUGGGCCCUGCCCUCAAGCCAGUUUUUACCCAGCAGAGUAUGCCUGUCCAAAUCAUGGGCUGCCAAGCUUCCAACAGAUUCAGAGUCCUAAAGCUGCAUCUUUUUCAUGUUGAGUCCCAAAACUCGCUUAUGCCAACAACAGAUCCCUUGGAGAUGACUCCAAGAGACCAACCUGCCAGGAGGCUGAAGGCCAGGUUCCACCAUAGCUCCAAAACAUGAGGGAAAUUGAACGUUUUGGCUUCAGUUCUGCCAGCAGCUCAUUCCAGGGACUCAUGCCACUUGAUAUCCUUUUGCAUCUCCACUUCUUCAGCUGCUUGGAUGCACCAGUACUUCAUCACGUUACUGCAGCAUCUCAAACAUGUGGAGCUGUCCAUGCAACCUCAGCCCAAGGGCAGGAGAGGCCUUGGUGCCCUUCUGGAUUCUCUUAUCUUCACAGAAGGCAAAGCUUCCACAGAAGAAAUGAAACCAGCAGAUACCUGCACUGUGCCUGCUGAUCUACACAGAAAUCCUAGCCAGGCUCUUGUUUUUUAGAUCUCCUUUUCAGCAGAUUAAGAAAGAUUAUCCCAGGGGUAUGGCAACCAACCAGAGUGCAGGAGAUCAUUUCAAGACAUCUGUAAUAGCACGCAAUUAACAGCCUCUCCUCAAUUUUGUCUCCUGGCCUCAUUCAUUAAGAAGAUGUUUUUUUUAAUCACCCUUACACAACACCUUUAACUAGCAACCCCUCUACUUCCAUUACUGCCACUGCAGGCCUCAGGCUCCUCUUUCCUCCCCUUGAAAUAGAUUCAAAGCAACAUCUUCAUUUCCACUCCUGCUCAUCCACAUUGAAACUGCCUAUACGCACAUGCAAAACAAGCACAAAUUACACCAUUAACUUCAGCUUAGUCAGCUCACACCACAGACUAAGUCAAUAUUUGACAGAUAUUUAGCAAGGACUAGAAUUUAUUUAAAUUCAGCACAUCGUGCCCACAAGAGCGGAUUUAGCAGAGGAUGAGAGACAACAGGACACGCUGCUUGGGAUUUGGAGGACAAAAACUUGCCACUUCGUAACCACAGAAUUCUUUCAACUGGAUACCUCCUGUUGUCACAAAAAGGAGGUGAGGGAAAAGCAGGAUCUGAGCUCAGUCCAAACCUUGUGAGGAACAACCAGCUUUCCUGGGGGCAACGUUGUGCGUGAGUGAGGACGUCCCAUCUUUCAGAGAAGAGGGGUUGCUAAGGCAAUCCACCUAAAGGCCUGUCAUCUGUACCAGCCCACAACUUCAACACAUCCCAUUAAUGCCAGCUGUAGGGCAGCUGAGUUCGUACACAGCCUUGGUUUUCAACAGAAACCAGGAAAAAAAUAAGAAACUGUUGACUGCAAGACAGUCCCCUUCCACAAUUUUUAGAAGCUUCUAAAACCCAGUGGUCCAAAACAAGCACAUCCCAGCAGACGUCGAUGCUGGGAGUCAGCCACAUCUCUCCACAGAUGCCAUCGCUCCCAAUGAUUGUUUUCCAGAGCACGAGCUCCAGUCCAAGCACAGCGUCAGCGCAGUUCUGAGCUUUGUGCCAGCACGGGCCAGAAGAAUAAAGACUGCUGAAACCACCCAGCAUGCCAAAUGGGUUUAACAACAUAUCAAAGAAAUAGGUUUAACCCAAAUUGUGUCAGUUUUCAUAUGAAUAAGAUCAACAUACAUCCCUUUUCAACGUAAAAAUGUAGAUAAAACAGAACCAAGAGCAAAUUCUUCCCCUCCUCUGUGGUUAAAGACCAAUACAAAAGCUUCUGGAUCCCUCUAACCCUGUUACAUGUGCUAGUUCUUCCUGCUGGCUGGCAAAGUUUUUACUUACAUGAGCCCUUGGGAGCAGUGCCAAAACCGAAGAGUAAAAGGAACAGGUCAGUGAAAAAUCCCAACAAACAGAGCAUCACAGGGAGACAGGAAUCAAAAUUAAUCAUUUUUUUGAUCAAAUCUCCUUCUCUGCACUACCAAGGCAGAGCUGCCACCAGCAGAGAAGGCUGCACACUGCAAACAAAGCUAUGUGUGUGUGAACUAAAUGUUCCCUGCAUUGUACUUAACAGUCUGAGAGAGGAGUCCAAACACCAAGUAAAUAAACAGGCAAUAGGCCCAGGCCCCUGACAAAGCAGGGAAAGGAAAAAGCAGGGAGAAGGACAGAUGUAAGCACAGGAACAAAGCUGAACAAAAGAUAAUGUAACAGGUUUGGUUUUCUGUGCUGUUUGUUAGCAGCUUCAUUUGGAAAACAACCCACGUGCUUGCAGAUCCUCUCCAACUGUCCCUCCACUGCUCUCAACUUAGGAAGUCAGUGGCCAUUUCAACUGUAGGCAGAGGAGGUUGAAGUUUCCUGUAUCUUCUGCACAAACAGAAACUCUGCUCAACAAUGGCCAGGCAGAGACCUAAAUUAAUACACUUAUAAAUGGCAACGGAGUUUAAUAUCUGUCCCGGAGGCAUUCAAGGCCAGGCUGGAUGUGGCUCUGGGCAGCCUGAUUUGGUGGUUGGUGACGUGCACAUAGCAGGGGGAUUGAAACCAGAUGAUCAUUGUGGUCCUUUUCAACCCAGGCCGUUCUGUGAUUCUAUGAUUUCUAUUUGCCUGUCUGUCCACAUGCAGCCUCCCACCCAGCACUGCUGCGGGCAGCUUACCUCACUUGGCAAAAAAAAUGCACCCACAAAACCAAAAGAAACCUAGAAGUAGUAGUGCUGCAGUUCAGGUAGCUUUGUGCCCCAUCACCGUGUAAAAAUUAAAAAGAUAUAAAAGGAUAUAGCAACUAAUGAGCAGAACUUUUCUUGCACCUGUAGAUGUACUGCAGCUGGAAAAGCUGAAGGAAAUCACACUGACAGCAGUGGACACACACAUCCGUAUCAUGCAUUUGAAAGCACAAAGAACAAAGCUCUGCUGAAUGUGGGAAUUGGAAAGCCUGACAGAUUUAACCCAGGUUAUCCCGUGGCAAAUUAGCUACUGUUGAAACACAAGGCAUUACAUCAUCUAUUUGCAAGGAUUUUUUUUUUUCCAAGCUAAAUUAUUGUGUUCACAGCUUAAAAAAUAU
ensembl:lncRNA